rnacentral:tRNA from 1 species
AAGAAAGAUGCGAGAACUGCUAACUCUCCAACUCCGUGCCUAAAAACACGGCUUUCUUA